CUUUCGGGCGGGGCGGACACCAGCCGCGCGCCCUCGCCGGGCGCCGGGACCGGAAAAUCACCGCGAAGGGAGGGACGAGGAAAGGCGGCGGGUGGCUUCAGGACAAGGUAGGAGGAUCGAUUUCCACAGCCAAGAAGACACUCCCAUCCCGCCCUGGUUUGUUUGGAAAGCUGCAGGAGCUAAAGUGAGGGGUGGCGGGUACUCCCCUUCCCCGCCCGGCUGGCAGGCGGCAGAAGUAAAUACUGAGGCGUGUCGCGCCGCGGACUGACUGUGACACAAGGCUCAGCAGAAGGUUUGGUCCCUAUCAGAAGGGGCGGAGUGUUCAGAGAGCUCCUUAAUUCCGUGGCUCUGCCCUUCAAGGGCAAAUGUGUUCGUACUUUUUAUCUUUUGAAGGAGAUAAUUAGGGAGAACCAAGGUGGAACGUGCUUUUUGCCUUUUCUUUUCUCUCCAUAGGAAAAACCCUACGUUAUUUAUGUCCUCUUACUUGGAUGGCUCUGACUACUUUUUAUAAUGUGUUUGUCAAAUAAUUCCUUGUCUAGAAACAUUCAGGUCAUAGCUCCAACCUUUGGGCCCUGAGCAGUGUAAUCACGUGUGAUCAAAUGACCCCAGAGAGAAGACCCACGGACUUGGAUGUAAUUCAAAGUUGGCAACGUGUCACGCACUGGAACAAAGUCCUUCAUCUGUGAUGAGUUUUCUGCUGUGAGAUGUCAGUGGGCAAGGAUGUGAUGCCUGAAGAUGUGGUAUCUACCGGGAAACAGUCAAGGACCUGAAGAUGAAGCCAGCAUCUGAGGAAGACAGACAGAAAGGAUCUGGAUACAUGAUGAGCCUGAAAAGUAUCUUGCAUACACCACUGGCAGCACAGAAUCCUGACAAACCGCUCAUCAGAAAUCAACCACAGACUCUCUAUGCUCUUACCGAAACGCUGGCUUUGAGAACUAAUUUUUUUUUUUUUUUUUUUGAGACAGAGUCUUGCUCUUGAGUAAAACAUGGGGAAAAAAUCUUUCUCAAUUUUAUCUUUGAAUCAGACUAUGUCAUGAAAGGGCUAUGUUUUUAUCCAUUACUAUUAAUACCAUGAAGGGUCCAGCAAUAGAUACAUCACCUAUAUUAACUAUAUAACUAUCUUUCAGAAUUAAUUCCUGCAUAGGGAAGAAUAUCAAGUCAUAUGAAGUCCGAGACAAUGGGAAAAGAAGAGGUAUUCCUGUGCAGGCCCUCUUCUAGUUAGAAGCACUGCAACUUUAUUUAUAAUAGUACGAAUGAGCCUGGUAUGUGCAGAGAAGAACCAGCAGAUCGGUCUGGCUGGAGCAUAUCAUAGGAGGGGAGCAUAAUGGGCAAGGAAGCCAAAGAGGAGGUAGGAGCUAGAUCGUUCAUCACGCAGGGUCUUGAAGGCAAGGGUAAGGAAUUUGGAUUUGAUUCUAAAUGCGAAAGGAAGUAACUAAAAUAUUUUAAGCAAGGAGUGAUUGAAUCUGACAUUUUUUUUUUUUAAAAAUCACUCUGGGGUCUACAUGGAGAAAGAAUUGCACUGAUGCAAGAGUGGAAGCAGAAAAGCCAGUCCGGAGACUACUGCAGGACCUGAGUCCACAGGGCCUGAAAAUUGCUUCCAGCAACUGACAAGUUCAUCCCCUUCCAACUGGUCUGACAAGCCCUGAGGAAGGAAGACAGUGAUAUCCACCCUCCCACCGCGCCCCCACCUCCUUAACUGUAAAAUUGUCCAUCUCAUCUUGGACUAUCGGGAAACCAACAUGGGACUACACAAAACCGCUACUUGAAGAUCAGCACCGAAAGAGUUGUUUGUGGAAAAUGGUUGACCAGGGUCAAUGUUAUGUGUAGAUGUGCAAGAAACUGCCUACCUUCUAGUCUCCAAUUAUCUACAUGUGUAUAGGAGAUGUUGGAAAUUUCUUUUUGGACUGAUUCUUUGAAGCCUUACCUCCUUGCAUAGUCCUGAUAGAAUAACGAAUUGGGUUCCCAGGGUUGAGUGAGAAGAGUGGGUUUCAGGAGUCAUUCACACACUGCAUUCUGCCUUCCAGAGGCAGUGAGGGGCAAGAAUAAGAGAAGGAUCAUGGGCUUUGGGGUUAGCCAGGACUACACCCAAAUUUCUGCUGGGCUUGCUACUAGUUGGGUCCUGGAGCAUGAUGCGUUCCCUGUUAAGGUUUUUUGUUUUUGUUUUUGUUUUUGUUUGUCUGAUCUGGUAGCCUGCAGUAAAUGGUUGUUCCCUUGGCCUUAGGAUUUAUAGCCUGUGACCAGUUACCAGAUUAUCUCACCACUGAAGGCCCAGAUAGUACUGUGUAUAAUGAAAGCAAGUACCGUUAUUAACACUUGAAGCUUUCUAACCAUAGUAUUUCUCGGUUCAAAGCAAAGAAACCGGAUCCACCUAUUUCGUUUUGCAUGACUGGUAUAGAUAUCUAUAAUAUUGAGAGGAGGGGCCAGCUGGGCUUCCUGGGUCGAGUAGGGGCUCAGAAAGCUGUGAAACUCACUAAUUUCGUGCAUCAGGACUGACUUCGGUCCUGGAUGAAUAAUAUUGAAGAUAUAUGCUUAAAAUAUUCCUAACACCAGGAUGUGUGCAUGUGUUUUCUUGCCCAAGAAAAGUAUAAACAGCGAAAAUUUUGCUGUAAGUUUCCCUGUGUCCUUUCUCCCUCUCUCCCUUCCCCCUCCCCUAAAACUAAAAGGAAUGUUAAAUGCCCGUUUUCUGUGACCAGCGGACCUUAUCUAUGCUCCUAAUUCCAAUUGCUUGCAAACAUACUUUGUAAAGUCCUGUGAGAUCCUGUCUCCUUUGCCAUGCCACUACAAGGUCAUAAAGUAGAUAAAACCUAAGUUGCAAUUCUGGUUUUCCUCAAAACCUAAAACAUGUCACACAGUAAUUUACUGCCUUUGUUUCUCACUCUGGUAACAUCUUCCCUCUGCAGGCACGUAUUUCCCGCCUUAAAGAGUUUAAAAGGCAACUGCAUAAUCUAACUCUGGCUACCCGCUGGGGACCCCUUCCACGCUCUGAAAGCUUUGUACUGUCACUCUGCUCAAUAAAGCCUACAGCUUUUUU